rnacentral:misc_RNA from 1 species
AACGCAAGUUGCGCCCUCGAGAUAGCCUUGAGGGCAUGCCUCUUUGAGUAUCGGUUUAUCAAAAUUUCACUUCGUCGUGAAGUCAAUGGGUCAAUUGCCGCCGUGCGAUUGUCUUCAAGUUGAUUCGCUCCGGCAGUAUUCUUUGUUGAAUCGCGUCGCCGUUUCUUGGAUAACGAGUUAAACGCUUCGCGCCUUGCCGGGCAAACACUUUUAAACACUACAGAUCUCAAAUGAGGUAAGACUACCCGCUGAAUUUAA